AGAGUUUGAUCAUGGCUCAGGAUGAACGCUGGCGGCGUGCUUAACACAUGCAAGUCGAACGGAACUAUUAGUAAUAGUAGUUUAGUGGCGGACGGGUGAGUAACGCGUGAGUAACCUGCCUUUUGCAGGGGGACAACACAGGGAAACUUGUGCUAAUACCGCAUAAGAUAGUGGAAUGGCAUCAUUAAGCUAUCAAAGGAGAAAUCCGGCAAAAGAUGGACUCGCGUCUGAUUAGCUAGUUGGUGGGGUAAUGGCCUACCAAGGCGACGAUCAGUAGCCGAACUGAGAGGUUGAUCGGCCACAUUGGGACUGAGACACGGCCCAGACUCCUACGGGAGGCAGCAGUGGGGAAUAUUGCGCAAUGGGGGGAACCCUGACGCAGCAACGCCGCGUGAAGGAUGAAGGUUUUCGGAUUGUAAACUUCUUUGAUGAGGGACGAAACAAAUGACGGUACCUCAAAAACAAGCCACGGCUAACUACGUGCCAGCAGCCGCGGUAAUACGUAGGUGGCGAGCGUUAUCCGGAAUUACUGGGUGUAAAGGGCGUGUAGGCGGGAAUGUAAGUCAGAUGUGAAAUUCCGAGGCUCAACCUCGGCGCUGCAUCUGAAACUAUGUUUCUUGAGUGCUGGAGAGGAAAGCGGAAUUCCCAGUGUAGCGGUGAAAUGCGUAGAGAUUGGGAGGAACACCAGUGGCGAAGGCGGCUUUCUGGACAGUAACUGACGCUGAGGCGCGAAAGCGUGGGGAGCAAACAGGAUUAGAUACCCUAGUAGUCC
rnacentral:rRNA from 1 species